rnacentral:rRNA from 1 species
AAGAGACAGCAGCAGCCACGGUAAUACGAAGGGUGCAAGCGUUACUCGGAAUUACUGGGCGUAAAGCGUGCGUAGGUGGUGGUUUAAGUCCGUUGUGAAAGCCCUGGGCUCAACCUGGGAAUUGCAGUGGAUACUGGGUCACUAGAGUGUGGUAGAGGAUAGUGGAAUUUCCGGUGUAGCAGUGAAAUGCGUAGAGAUCGGAAGGAACAUCUGUGGCGAAGGCGACUAUCUGGGCCAACACUGACACUGAGGCACGAAAGCGUGGGGAGCAAACAGGAUUAGAUACCCCAGUAGUCCCUGUCUCUUAUAC